AGUAUUAUAGUUUAAAAAAAAUUUUAAAUUGCAAAUUUAAAGAUGGGCCCUAUUUCCUAAUAUUU
rnacentral:tRNA from 1 species